rfam:Lasius niger Lnig_2.1_10864, whole genome shotgun sequence.
CAAACGGCCCUUUUCAGGGCCCCUCAAAAGAUUAUACGAGAGCAUCU